UACGGGGGGGGCAAGCGUUGUUCGGAAUUACUGGGCGUAAAGGGCUGGUAGGCGGCCAACUAAGUCGGAUGUGAAAUCCCCGGGCUCAACCCGGGAACUGCGUCCGAUACUGGAAGGCUUGAAUCCGGGAGAGGGAUGCGGAAUUCCAGGUGUAGCGGUGAAAUGCGUAGAGAUGUGGAGGAAUACCGAUGGCGAAGGCAGCCCCCUGGGUCAAGACUGACGCUCAUGCACGAAAGCGUGGGAAGCAAACAGG
rnacentral:rRNA from 1 species